GUCAACUACCCCGUCCUGAAGGACGGAGCUUGAAGCUUGAGGGUGACCAGGGAGAGCCCCGUAUCCCAAGUGAAUACGGCUACGUUGGCAAUAGGUAUAAGACCCACACUGGGAUGCUUCCUCAGUCCCAGGCUCUGG
rnacentral:sRNA from 1 species